rnacentral:rRNA from 1 species
UGAGGAAUAUUCGGCAAUGGGGGAAACCCUGACCGAGCGACGCCGCGUGCAGGAAGACGGCCUUCGGGUUGUAAACUGCUUUUAUUUGGGAAGAUUAUGACGGUACCAAAUGAAUAAGGACCGGCUAACUACGUGCCAGCAGCCGCGGUAAUACGUAGGGUCCAAGCGCUAUCCGGAAUCACUGGGCGUAAAGAGUUUGUAGGCGGCGAUUUAAGUGAGAUGCGAAAUUCUCCCGCUCAACGGGAUGGACUGUAUUUCAAACUGAAUUGCUAGAGGUAUGCAGAGGUUAGCGGAAUUUGCGGUGUAGGAGUGAAAUCCGUAGAUAUCGCAAGGAACACCAAUGGCGAAGGCAGCUAACUGGGCAUUACCUGACGCUGAGAAACGAAAGCGUGGGGAGCGAACGGG